rnacentral:rRNA from 1 species
UACGGGAGGCAGCAGUGGGGAAUAUUGCACAAUGGGCGCAAGCCUGAUGCAGCCAUGCCGCGUGUAUGAAGAAGGCCUUCGGGUUGUAAAGUACUUUCAGUCGUGAGGAAGGUGUUAAGGUUAAUAACCUUAGCAAUUGACGUUAGCGACAGAAGAAGCACCGGCUAACUCCGUGCCAGCAGCCGCGGUAAUACGGAGGGUGCGAGCGUUAAUCGGAAUUACUGGGCGUAAAGGGCACGCAGGCGGUUAAUUAAGUUGGAUGUGAAAUCCCCGGGCUUAACCUGGGAAUGGCAUUCAAGACUGGUUAGCUAGAGUCUUGUAGAGGGGGUAGAAUUCCAUGUGUAGCGGUGAAAUGCGUAGAGAUGUGGAGGAAUACCGGUGGCGAAGGCGGCCCCUGGGACAAAGACUGACGCUCAUGUGCGAAAGCGUGGGGAGCGAAAACAGGAUUAGAUACC